CGGCGGCCAGUGCGGACUGCGGUUCCCGCCCGGCGCGCGGGUGCUGUGACUGCUCCUCCAGGGCUGCUGACUGGUAGCUCUGCAGCGCUCUGGAGCCUCUCCUGCGGGGACUCUGUGGUGUAGCAUUCCCUCAGAGCUGGAGACAGGCACCGGGAGCUCCGAGCACAGCUCUCAAGGGCUGGCGGCCACGAAGGCGUUUGCUUGGGUCCCCGGUGCAGUCCGAGUCUCUGCGGCUGCCCGGUGCGCCCGGGAAAGUGCACCUCCCCCGGCACGGCGGAGCGGAGGCGACGAGGACCAAGCGGGUCCUGCGCCAGCUACCACCGGUCACCGCGGGCCAUCCGGGCUGCUUGUGGCGGAGUUGCAGCGCUUCUUAGCGCACUGAAGCCCCAGAAGACCUCUGCCUCCUGCGAACCAAACACACCGAAUCCUUCUCUGAUUUCAACAGUGGAACACAACUUCAGAGCUGGGAAUUGGCCAAGAAGGAAGAGAGAAUCUCAAAAUAAUAACCCUUGAACAGAACACAUUACAGAACUUAGAAAUACUUUUCGGGACAACCAUUUCUCCAAGGUAAAUAUUGCCAUUGAAAGAAGGGACCACAUGGUUUGUGAUUUCAGACAAUAAUGGGGCAGCACAGAGAUUUGAUGGUCUAGUCUGGUGCAGACUAGGACUGAGGGAGGGGGAGAGAGAAGAAAGGGAGGCUGCUGCUUCUGUCUGCAGCCUCACUAAAUGUAUCACCAAGAGAGCACCAUCUCACCCUGGGAGGUCAUGGGACUGGUCAGCCAGCGUGUGGGAAAAGAGGGAGGGAAGAGAGCCCUUGUGUUUAGACUGAAAAUAGCAUUCAUUCCUUUAUGAUGAAUUAGUUGAGGGAUUCUAACUAGAGGUCAAGAAAGUAUCUGCUCUAUGUACAUCAUACAGGUGGUCCUGGACCAUUUCGCUUUGCACCAAGACUUAACAAAUAAGAAAAACAUUUGAGAAAUCUCUGUUUUGUUUUGUUUUGUUUUGUUUUUCUGAAAAUGCACACUGUUCACCUUUCAGUGGUCUAUACAAAAUGCUUUACUUUUAUGUCUUAUUUUGGAAGAUAAUAUCCUUAAUACCUCUUCUAAAGAGGAGCUGAGGGAGAGACAUAGGCAGACCUUACAACCUGAGUGGAGUGGGCCAGCCUCGUCUUGCAUAUCCACAGGCAUAGCUCUAGGCUCUCUCUUUGCAAAUCAUAAGCAGUAGAGUCCAUUCUCAGCUUCAGCACUCUCGACUCAACUCCCUGGACAGACCUUCACACAAACUGCUGUGUCAUUUCUAUGAAGUUCCUCUUUUGCUGCUUACUUUGCAGCAAAGGGCUAUUUUCACUAGGCCCUGAGAAUCUAUCUGAUAAAGCACUUCCUUUUCUCCUUGCAAAACUAUCUGUGUGCUCACAUCCACGGGGACGAAACAAUACACAACUAGAUUUAAAAUCUUCUUGUCCACUCUCUCUGGUUAGAAGAUCAUAUAUGGCUGGCAUCAUCCCACCCUUGGUCUUCUGGAAAGCAGUUUCAGAUUGGCAAGGGAGAGCCAGCCUCUGUCUUCACCCUCCCUGGCUGUUCUCGGAAGGGCUGGGGGAGUGUAGGCUGUACAUUAGAGGAGAAUUUUGUGAUACUAUUCAUUCCCGGCUCUCACAGAGAGGACAUUGUUUGCUCACUGUAAUAGUCUUGGCAGGGAUCUCUGCUGUGCAUACAGAAUGGGAGCAGAGCAGUGGGAACCGCUAAAUUCUAAGAAACACAUCAGCUUAGGGAUUUUUUUAAAAUACAUUUUAAUAGCUUCUCAUUACCAAGAUGCAAGUUAUAAUUUGGGAAAUCGUUUUCCUUGGUUCCUUUCUUCACACUGCAUUAUGCAUGUAUUACAUGAAAGGUCCUUAUGAGAGCGGGGUGCCCAUCUAAGCUGCAGCAUCAAGCGUUUCAGUCCUAGAAAUUCAGAAAGGCUUCCUGCGCAUUCCAGACAGCCUCGAGUGUCGCUCCUCAAACAUCAGCAGUCCUGUCAAUGCCGGCGGGUUAGCUUUGAGCUCACGGGAACAAUUAUCUGCUACCAAAUUAGAGAAACAGCAUAUUUGAGAUGUGCAGAGAGUAAUCAGUGUGUGGCAGGGGACACAGAGAGGGUGCCACCCGCCGUGCGAGGAGCGCCAAGAGUGCUCACAACUUUAGAAAGAGUCUCUGCAAUCCGGACUGUGUAAAAGGAGGGCAGGAGCUACAGCAGAGUGAUAGCAUAUGUGCCUCAUGUGCGAGAGGAUCCAUGUUCGAUCCUCACCUCUUCAAACCACGGUGAUUAUGGAGGAGGAGGAGGAGGAAGAAGAGGAAGGAGGAAGAGGAAGAGGAGGAAGGAGGAGGAGGAGAGGAAGAGGAAGAAGGAGGAAGAGAGGAAGAAGGAGGAAGAGGAGAGGAAGAAGGAGGAAGAGGAAGGAGGAGGAGGUACACUUAGGCAGAGUAGAGGAGUGCAAUAAUAUGACAGUGUUUGGGAUUGAAUAACAGAUACCAAUAACUAAGCUCUUCAACCUUCUUCCCCUCCUUUUUCUUAUUCCAAUUGAUACAUUUUAGAUUGUCUGUUUUUAAUAUAAAAUGUUUAUGUAAAUAUACAGGAUUGCUGGGGGCAUGCAAUAGAAUAUGGCCUUCUAUGAGGGCAUCUGAGAGAGGCUGGAUCUGCCGCUCCAGCCUGUGUCAGGGUGACAAGGAUGUCUACAGAGGCCCUGGCUUUCCACACCUGUGAGCACAGCUGAUCAAAAAGGGACAGAGGUAGGAGCUCACUGGCAGCCAGAUCCUUGGAAGGGACCCUAUUAACUGGUUAGCCGUAGCUGUCCUGAAGGGGGAGAGUAAGGUCUGUGUAUGAACAUAAGUCAGCCUUAUCCACUGGGAAGUAGCACGUGAAUGGAAGCUACCCCAAGUCAGAGUGGUGCGAUCUUGUUUAACAGACACAUCAUGGCUCCUAGAAAGGGAGGGACAAUUUGCAUAGCUACCCCAUGGUGGUGCCCAUUUUACUGGAGAUGAAACACAAGUUCCGAGAAUGUAAGGACUUGAGUGGCAAGAGCAGAGUCAGCGUUGGCAUCCAACAGCUGUGGAAUCUGGGCUUAGGGUGCAUGUAACCUGUCAUCAUAGGAGGCCCCCCUGGACUGUACCAGAGCCUGCUGGCUGGAUCUAUAAACAUACAGUCACCCCCACAGAGGCAUUAUAGUACAUUACAUCAUCAUGUUUGGAAACACUGCCUUUGUUAGUGUUUACCUCUGUAGAAAAAUAAUUUAUAAUCUUCUUCUGUCUAAAGUGGGCAUGUGUUAGUGAUCAUUAAAAAACAAAAUUCCAGCCAUUUCCUUCAUGGCCCUCAUGGUACAUUGUACCACAGGUGCCUGGACAGGAUUCCCACUGGGCCCAGUGCCUCUCACCAGGAGACUGAACUUCUUGCUACAGCGUGACUUGCCACCUUCAAGAGUACCCUCAGCUGAGGCUGAUAUGUCAGCAGAUAACAUGUGGCCAUGUCUGUCUCCUCCCUGAUUCCUGGGCUCUCAUCGUAACCCAGACCCUCCCACAGUGUGUUCAAAGGAGUCUUAAUAGAUGUGGUUCCCCAACCACAACCCCAGAAUAGAAGAGAGAAAUGUUUUUGAAUUUAUAAUCAGACAUGUUUUGCAAAUAUGAGUUAGAUCACCUGUUAUAAGACUUCUCAGAAUUUUCCUAUGACUCUCUAAAGUGAGGUGUAGACUGUAGGAGCUUCCUAAGUCAUGUAUUCUUUCUGGUGGGGAGAAGAGUUACCAGCAUCUCUUAGAUGGUGCCAUCUUUGAGAACAGAAGAGAAAAGAGACUCUCAUGGUGUAGAGACAAACCAUAUGCUAACGAAAUGAUAAAUUCCUUUUGGGAUCCCUGCCUUCAAGCCAGACUUUGAAAUGAUAGCCGCUGGGACCUGGGGUUUCUCAUCUGUGAAAUAUGCUGGAUAGAACUGGAUUGUCUCCAAGGUCUUUGCGUCUUUAUGAGCUCAGGACUGUGCUGUCCGAGAGGGAGCACACCACCCGCACAGGGCAGGAAAGCAGAGCAGGAGUAAACUGAGGCACAGGAAGUAAGAGGAGGAGCUGUUAGUGUAAAGAUGAAUUCCACAAAGGCCUUUGUGCCGCAUGGAACCGAAGCACACUUUAUUCCGUGUGUUUUAAUGAACAGUUUGAAAGGGGAACUGUGCUCGUUACUUUAUGAUUACUGAUGCUCUUAACCCAAACAAUUAGACAUUCCCAGGAGAAACAGCUGUUCCUAGCUUCCAGACCAGAAUUUUCCACGAUCUUUUAGAUGGUAAUUUGGGUUCAGCUUCAAGAAGAUAAAAGUGUUAGUAGAUGUGAGUCACAGGGGGCUGCGUGCACAUUGUCCCCAUUCCUGAACCAUGCCGGCCUUGCUUGGUGUGUGGGAUGCUUGAGUCUUGCCUGUCUGGGCUCUGAUUGGCCAAUCAGAACCUGACUGGCUUUGUGAUAGAAAGGCCCAGGUCUCUGCUGCAGUCCCAGUAGAUGCCGUCAGUGGUAAAGCGUGCUAGCCUGACUUUCCACUUUGUCGUGCCCUCAAGACCUGCACCUUCUUUCCCUUCACCCUAUGUAACCUCCUAUAAUGUGCCGGGACCAGAGCAGUGAGUUCUUCCUAGCAGCUGCACCAUGAAAAUCACCGGGAUUCAACAUCCCCCAGGAGUUGUACACACUUUAUAGUACUAAAGGUUCAAACUUCAUUUUUGUUUUUAUAGUAUUUGAUAAGUAAGAUGAUGAGCUAAAUGUUCAAGAAAAUAAUAAUGUGUGAGAAACUAUAACCCUGAAAGUCAAAGUAGACCAUACUUUUAGUGAGCUCAGGAAGCUGUUGGAAUAAUGUUUUUAUUUGCUGUAAUUGGAAUCUUUCCGUUCUCUUUCUCAGAUUUAUUUUUAUUUUCUGUAUAUGAGUGGUUUGCCUGCAUGUAUUCUGCACAACAUGUGCCUGGUUCUCAGGGAGGCCAAAUUGAGGGUGCCACAUGCCCUAGAACUGGAGAUACAGGUGUUAUCUUCCCCCCAACCAGAUGCCAGGAUUGAACCUGGGUCCUCUGAAAGAACAGCGGGUGUUCGUAACCCCUGAACUAUCUCUCCAGGCCCCAAAUCACAGGUCUGCUUGUUUGCUAUUUGUGCAACAUCAGGAAUUGAACCCAGGGUUUCACACAGGUGAGGUAAUGCUCCUCCUCUGAUCUGUGAUGGUCCAGCUCCAAUCUAGCCAGUCCCAUAACCCAUAAGUACAGUUACUUUAUGACUGUAUGCAUAUUAAUCAACUGAAGACAGGUAGCCUCGUAAGCAUUGCAAUUGGCUAUGAGGCCCGAUCAAUUGCAGAGUGAAUCCUGAAGUCUACUGGAUUGUUUUUACUAGAAGACAAUGUCAUAAAGCAGGGCUCACACCACUUCCCCACCCAGCCAGGCCUUUUGGACUUUCUGACCCUGGGGAUUACCUCUUGAGAUGAAUGUCCUUAAAUGUCCCUGCAAGUCCCUAUGCUGCUUAUGUUCCCUUUACAUGCUGCAUGCCAGAGAGCCACACUGUUCCCGAGCCACCAUCGGAAGCCGGUGUUCCAUUGAUUGUUCUUCCUUAUAAAAGGAGAUCUCUCAAGAAUUUCUACUUUCUAUUGAAAUACCACACUUUCUUCCUUCGUCCCCGUGGGCGUUGGGAUCUUCUGAUUUGGCACCCUUGCAGUUUAGAAGUUCUGUCUUUAUCCAUUCCUUCCACUAUAGUAGAUAACCGUUACACCGACCCUUACAGUCAGACAUCACUAACAGCGUUCAGAAUUAGUUAGAGUGGACGCACUGUUUUCCAGGGUUGGUUGUCUCUAAUCCACAGUUCGGUUUGGUUUUUGUUUUGAGUUUUUUGGUUAGCUCUUCUCAACGUUAACUUUAAAACCCACCUGCCAUCACUGCCCUGUUUAACAAAGCAUUAAUAAAUACCUAAAGAAGUAUUCCUUGGACAGGACAGCUGCAGACACACCACUCGAAGAAGCAGCUUUUCUGUUGCAUUAGCUGAAGAAAACUACAGUAUCUCUUGGAAUCAGAACUAGUUGUUAUUUUCGAACUUUGAAAGAACAAGUCAUCUGUACUAGAAAAAGCUGUCAGCGUUCUGUGCCUGACAACCUGGAGGACAUUUUUAGCCUUCAGCGUUAACGCAUUUACAGUGCAGCUUCGAUCAGAGUUAAAGGCUUGGCAUCUCUGUAAGGGACACAAACGCUUUAACAUUCUCUGUUGUGAUCUAACAAUUCACUUCAGAGUAAGAUGAAUCAGCCUUGUUUGGGAAAUGUUUCACAUAAACAUUGGCAGGAAAAUGAUCAGAGAAUCGCUGUGGGCUUUAAAAAAAUUUUUUUCCCCAAGCCAGUGAUGGCAAAUUAUUUUUCCCAUGGUUGUGAAAUGCCUGUUAUUUCUAAUGCUCCGUCCUAUCCUUUGCUUUUCAGGAUUAAUAAAUCUAUGGUAAAAAUCAGAGACCAUAUGCUAGGUCCUUCCAAAUGUCACAUUCCUGUGAACUUAACCUUUCUCCUGUGCACAGCGUCUUUUUCAUAAUCGAAACUUGAGCCUACUUCAUUAGCAUGUGCCCUUUUCCUUCCUGCUAGAGAACAGGACAGCAGUAACCGUAGGACUCUGCCCUCUGAAUCCUAGAGGAAAAACACUGUUGUCCAUCCACUUCUCUCUCCCCAUUCCCUGUGGCUGUUGCUCUAAGAGUGUGUGUGACUCCCACUCCCUUGGCCCUACUCCCUCCUCCCCAUCUCUCAAAGAAAGAAAAACAGAGCGCAGCGACUAAAUGGAACACACCAUCCUGGUCAGGAUUCUGGGACACAAAGCCAAUCAUCAGGACCCUUGGGUGUUGGCUCACACCUCCCAGCAUUUGUGUGGUGGAAUCAGGAAGAUGGCUUCCGGUCUAAGGCCAACCAGGGCUACAGAAUGAGACUCUUGUCUUCAAAACUGAUUAGGUAAAGGCUAAGAAGAUAUGAAUUAAAUGACAACUGUGUAUCAGUACUAGUUUAUUAAUUAUAGCAUGCUAAUAUAAGAUGCUAAUGAUGGACUAGAAAAAACUAGGGCAGAUACAUUUUACAUGGACCUAGUAAAUGACUGCAGCUGACCUAGGCCCAUUUGUAAGAAGACCUGCUGGAGACAGUGGGCGUUCUCCCCUUACUAAAAUCCUCCACUGAACAGAACCGCACAAAGGUUGGCCACGUCUUUCUUUUAGGGAAACCUAUGAUUUAGAAUAUUACCUUAAAAGUGAAUUUGUAAAUACAGUUCCAGAAUCUACUAAGGAUGAAAUGUUGGCAUUAAAGUGAUUUGUAUAUAUUAUAUACUCUAUAGCAAGGUUAUUUACAAUUUUGACACUUUUGAACUCUUGACCAAAAAUAACCAUAAUUUUGAAAAUAGCACCAGUGCCAUGUGAGCGUCACUUGCACACUAGGAAAAUCAGACCAUGUUCUCUGGCAGCCCCAUGUUGAAUCUGAAACUAAAAUUAAAGCCGCACUCAAGUAACUCAUUGUAGCUUAGUUUGUGAUAAAAAUGAUUUUAUCCACACAAUAAUAUAUAUUUUCAGAGAAAGAGUUUAGAUUAAUGUGCCUUUAGACUAUCCACUUAAGUGAUAAUUAGCUUUGGCGUGUUAUUUAAUACAGUCUGUAGUGUUGUUAUGUGUUAUUUAAUUUAGGCCAAUAAAAUGGUGAAUGCCCAUUUAUGUUGGAGGCUUUUAGGACAUUUUGGGUUCUGACAAGUGUUCCCAUUAUGCUUAGAGUUAAUCAUAGGGACAGGCCUCAUCUAGUAAUUACUUUUACUUCCUUUGGAGCCAGUCAUUGCUAGCACAAGAAAUUAUUUCCUAGCCGUAGUACAUCAACACUGAGUUUUGAUUACAAGCACAUUAAAAAGGGUUUGUUAUAAUUACCUUGAAAGUUAAUGACUGUGAGGGAGGGGGAGCUGUCUGGGAAAGGCUGAAGAGUAGUUCUCAAUUUUGACUCCUCCGUAAGAUCACCCACAGGUUCUUAGUAUCCCCACAUGCAAGCUGUACCCAAAACUAAUUAACCCGGUCUCUACAAGCAUUUAUUCAAAGUUCCCAGGUGUUUCCAAUGUCACCUGAGAUUGAGACUGCUACCUUGGAAAGUCAAAAGCCUCUAAGGUAGCCCUCCAACCCAGGAUGCUAUUGCUGUUUGAGACUGGGUAGCUUGAGCCAUGGGGAGAUGCGUAGCUUCAAAGAGAAUGAGCAAACAAGCUGACCCUGCCUCUCCUUCCAACAGGCACUGCCGUUCUGACAGUGAAAACCCUUAUAGGCACAUCAUGCAUGGCUCCCCGCUGAUGCUGGCUUUGCCUCCUUCUGCUUGGCAUCUUACUUCCCUGCAUAGAAUCAAUAGCAGCUGACAGUUAAACAGUACAGGCUGAGUACCAGGUCCCAUGCAAAUGAAGGUUGAUCUUAUUCGAAGCCAGGAAAGAUGAAUAAAAAAGCCAGAGUUCUUGGCUUUUCUGGCACAAGGACCUGGGUUCAAUUCCCAGAGCCCUCGUUAUAGGGAGAAAUCUGGAGUUCUCUUUUGUUGGGGAAAAAAUAGCUUAUUGAUUAUUUUGUCAUUCCAUCAUUUGUUCAUUUUAUUAAUAAAAGAACUCAAUCAAAAGUAUGGCCUAAAACUGCCACAAAACCACAAAUGAUCUCUCAGACCGGAAGUAAAAUAGAAACGCCAUAUCUAUCUCCUCAGGGCAAGCUUAAGGCAGCCAUUUGUCUGGCUCUUUACCCUGUGGAGGUUUGCUGGCCUCUGUGUGACACAAGUCGUGUGGCUUAGCUCGUCUUAGCUGGGCCCUUCUCCCACGUCUGGGCUGCAGCUAAGACCCACUUGCCAACAGAGCUCUGCUCUGUGGUUCCCUCCCAGGGUGUUGUAGUCAUGCUGGAAAGGGUACCAGGUUUCCUGGAGAAUUCAAGAUGUCUUGGGCAUCCCAGAUGGGACUUGGCCACUUUUGCUAUGUUUCUUGGCCAUAACAAGUCAGCCAGUCAGUCAAUCUAUAUUGAGAUGGUGCAAAAGCAGAUUUCCUCUCUUGAUAAAAAGUACUGAGAUGUCACAUGUGAAGGGCAAGAUUAAAGGAAAGAGUGGGCAGUUGUGUUCCUUCCUUUUACCAUCACCCAGAGGACAGGAAAGGUCAUUCUGUCUUUGAAUGUCAUGAGAGAUCCCUGAGAGGCAGUUACAUUUGAGCAGAUUCCAAAGACACAGAAUUCAUUUCAGGGGCUAAGAGCAGCAAGACCGAGACGGCCAAAUAGCAGUCUCACUAGACAUAGAAAUGACCCACAAGGCCCCUCUAACCUGACACUCAGGGCUCUGUCUUAGUGCUCUGGGUCAGGACAGCAAUGUGACCUAAGAACCCUUAUGUCAGUUUUGAUAACCUGAGAGAGCUUCAUGUCCCAGCUGGUGGAGCAUGGACAAGUGACAGUGCCUGUGCUUAGUACAGAGAUGUAAACACCAUGUCUGUUAGCUUUUUCUGUGUGACCAGCUAACCCACAACUCGACAGUUUGCAGGCAGUCACUUCCUUAGCUCGUGGUUCCAGGUCUUUCCAGUCUCUGCCGGCUUACCUCGGCAGCAGUGAUCUCACCAGGGCCUCUGAGCCCACCAUCAACCUACAGUCAAUGACGUCUUUCUGUGUGCAGAGGCUUACUGGAUUUGAGAAAGCACUGGAGCAGCUGGGCCCAAGUCCACGAACACUCAGCCUGGGCUCUGUAGAGAGAAAACAAGGAUCCAAGCAUAAACCGUGAUGCACGCACUUCAUGCUAGAAGGUUCAAAAUGGAUAUACAGUUGCUCCCCCUGCUUUGCAUGGGUAGAAGUAGAUCAAAAACCCAGCCCAGAAUUAAGAGUAGAGACACAGUUGUUUCUCACUGAAAGGAGCUUGUAGAGUCACUUUAUAUGCAGUGAGGGAGGAUACCGGAGGAAAGACUUGUGACUGUCUGUGAUCUUGCCCACCUACCUCACAAACCUAGGAAGAACAAGUCCGAUGGAGUUUCAUCUUUCUAUGUGAGACACCACAAAGUACCAGAAAAGCUGCCUGUUCAAUACCAUUAACCUUUUCUUCGGUGUAUUAAAGGCAAGACUUUAUCCAAAUCCAUAUUGCUUCCUUUUGAAAGUAUCAAAGGAGCCUCCAUUAAACACGACUCACAGAGGUUAAGCAUCACACAGCCUUCCUGCCUAGCAUGAUAACAGCUGUGGGGAAGGUUGUCUCUGGGUGCAUGUGUAGCUCUAACUCAGGGCCAGGGACUGUCUGUUGAUGGGGCUACUAGAGCUUGGCACCAAUGGUGCAUCACACAUAAAGGGUCAACACAAUGAAAGAACCAUGAACAAUAAAAUACAACAUUCCAUCUCCCAAACAAUAGUCUUUCAUAAUGGGUAAGAAUCCAUUUCAAAACCUGGGCUCUUAAUAAACCUUUAUUGAUUUAUUUCACUGGUGUAAGCAUUUUCAUCAAACCACUUAAGCUCCACAUAGUCCAGAUUGAUCCAUAAAGUGCACACAAACCCUAGGCGUCGUAUUGAGUGGCAGUCAUCUGUCUGGCGGCUAGAAUAUCUAAUUAGUGAUGUGGGUGAAAAAUACCUGUUUCAAAAUGAAUAAAACAUCAAAGGUUAUUCAAAAAUGAUUAGAUGGACAGGGGUGGUCAGGCAGGGGUGUGUCAGUGGUUGGAGCAUUGCAGAGGGUCAGGGGUGUGCCUCAGUGGGUGGAGCAUUGCAGAGGGUCAGGGGUGUGUUUUGGUGGGUAGAGUGUUUGUGGUACAGCUGUAAGCACCUGAGUCUGGAUUCCACAGCACCAUAUAAACAUGGUGUAACUCCAUGUUCACCUGUGACCACAGUGCUGGAGGUGGGGUUGGAGACACAUCACUGUGGUUUGCUGGCAUAGCCAAAGUAGCUGACUUCAUCUUCUGGCCUUUGCAGGGAUAGGUGUUCCCACACACAUGCACAUACACCUACACACCACACAUGGAUGCACACUGUAGAAGUAUGGUAAUUCAUUAAGGAAUUCACCUUUUAUGACAAUGGCCGUUUUAAGCCCCUAAAGCAGAUGUCAUAUGUGGGAUCUCUGCCGCUGACUCCAGCCUAGUUUACCCAAGCCACCACUUUCCGAAGUGCCAAGAUGGCUAGAGAGCCCAAGUCUGCCUCUUGUGGGCAACCCUAUCAAGAAUGAGCACUGCGUUCCCUUCGGCAAUUGGAAGGGUCCCUGUGACAAGGUAAUUAAGAAAUUUAGUGUAUACUCCUCCAGGCCUCAGGACGACUGCAGCCUUAGCCCUCAGCUCAGUUCCUCCUUAGGCAACAUCCGCCUUGCAGCACCCAUGUUUAUAUAGCUAUUCCAUCAUUUUGAUGGUUAGUUAUGGUCAUCAAGUACACACAUAGUGAGUCCCAGAGACUCAGGGUAUCAGAUAGAAAAGGGACUCGGCACAGCGAUGUGCUGAGGGUUCUGCAUCUGGUCCCAUCUACCUCUACUGCUGCUCUUCAAUGGAACACGAAGUAUGCAGGUCAGUCUGCCGUGCCAUGGUGAGAGCUUUGUCUGUUCUGAAGAUCCAGUGUUCAUUUUUAAAACAAUGCUUUAUAGACCGUGGAAUGAAACACCUAAGAGAACUGCUCUGUCUGCUCUGCAGGCCCGACACUGAUUCUCUGCUUCGUAAAAUCCAUGUUGGCAAGGAAAGUGCCUUUGUUGAGACUGGGAGGCCAUCUGGGCUUCAUAUUCUAAACUUGGUGAAUCUAUUUAUAUAUCCGUAAGGGGAAAUCCAUAUUUUGACAUGUGUUUACAAAACUAGAAGUUGCAUAUAGCUGGAUAAGCUGAAGAUAAGAGAAUUUUACCCUGGUAAGCCCUGCAAACAUCUCCAGUUACCACACUAAUUGUCAGUAAGUUCUUUAUGCGAUAUCUGGCACUAGACCUCCCAGAUCCCUUAAUGGCAUAAGGUUUUCAGUGUCGACCCUUUGUACUAAGUGCGCGUGUUGAAAGCUGUUGGAAAUGAUACAGAUGAAGCAUCCGUGAGCUUAGUGAGUGUUUGACUCCCUACAUUUUAGACAGCUAAGAUGUAAAUGUUGGUUCUUUCUCACACAUCCCAGUGGUUAGCCACUAUUCUACUUCAGAAAAUUAAGCUUUGUCACACAUGGAGAUCUCUCUCCUUCCCUUUCCCUCCUUCUCGUUCACUCCCUUCCUUCCUCCCUUCCUCCCUUCCUCCUCUUCUGCUUCUUCCUCUCCCUCCCUCCCACUUUGAAAGAGAUUUCAUAUAGUCCAG
ensembl:lncRNA